rnacentral:lncRNA from 1 species
CAGGCAUCAAGUUCAAGAUCAAGAUAAGUGAAAUAUAAUCAGCCUCAUCCUCGAUUGAAGCGUUUGAUCUGAGAGGAAGAUGUCAGAGGAUGGAAUGCAAUAAACUAGACAAAGGUUGGCUCACUGGAUGCGGAGGGCUUGGAUUGAAGCUAAGUCCUAAUAGCAUCUAGCUGGAACAAGACCCCCCUCACUGAAACUCGAAGCCCAUCA